rnacentral:rRNA from 1 species
AUGCAAGAGAGGCUGCCGUUCCGUGCGAUCCGGCCAAGCAAAGGUGACGGGGCCCUAAGUGAAGCGGCGAGGCUCGCCCCCAUCCUUACACUGCUGUCGUUGUUGCUCAUUUCUUGUGGAAUCGGCAGCAUCCGUUGCUCCUCCUCAACGACAACAGUCCAUGACAACAGCACUGACAUGAUGUUGCUGCUAUAUUUCAAGCGGGCCAUCACCAACGACUCCAGGCAAGCCUUGAGAUCACGCGUCCCCCUUUGCAGUUGGGAGGGCGUCUACUGCAGCCGGACGAACCCGGGGCGAGUCACGGGGUUGGACCUUGGCGACCUAGCGUUGUCUGGCCCGAUUUCACCGUCCCUCGGUAAUCUAACGUUCCUUAGGAGACUGGACCUGUCCACAAAUGGCUUCAUCGGCGAGAUACCUCCUCUCAACCGUCUCCAAAGAUUGAAGUACCUUUCCUUGAGAAACAACUCACUGCGAGGGAUCAUUCCAGAUACUCUCACAAACUGCUCCAAUCUAGUGUACCUAGACCUGUCCACAAAUAGCUUCACCGGUGAGAUACCUCCUCUCCACCGUCUCCAAAUAUUGGAGUACCUUCACUUGGCAAACAACUCACUGAGAGGGAUCAUUCCAGAUACUCUUACAAACUACUCCAAUCUGUGGUACCUAGACCUGUCCACAAAUAGCUUCACCGGUGAGAUACCUGCUCUCCACCGUCUCCAAAUAUUGGAGUCCCUUCACUUGGCAAACAACUCACUGAGAGGGAUCAUUACAGAUACUCUUACAAACUGCUCCAAUCUACGGUACCUAGACCUAUCUAACAACUCACUAAUAGGUGAAAUUCCCCAUGAUAUAGGCCACCUAUCCAAUCUAGUGACUUUAAAUCUUGACAGAAAUAAUCUCACCGGAACAAUUCCACCAAGCCUAAAAAACAUCAGUCAGCUUGAAUAUAUCUGUCUUGCCGACAAUAAGCUCACCGGAACCAUUUCAGAUGAGUUGGAAAAGUUCCCAUCUCUUGUUUAUUUAGGCCUUCGUGGAAACUGGCUAUCAGGUGGAAUUCCAGAAACCCUAUGCAAAUACAAUCAGUCUUCUCUGCAAAUUUUAGACUUCAGUUUCAAUGUGCUUGGGAAAACACUGCCAUCUAACUUUGGUGACACCCUCCUGAAUCUUAUAUAUCUCUCAUUGUAUGGUAAUAAUUUUGAAGGCCAUCUCCCUGCAUCACUAGGCAAUAUUUCAGGUCUAACAACAUUAGGCUUGUCAUUCAACAAUUUCAUUGGUCAAGUUCCCAGUACAUUUGGUAAUCUUGGAAUGUUACAAUACCUGUACCUUGAAGGAAACAAUUUGUCGGGUUUCAUCCCAGCAGAGCUGGGUAGCUUGCAACAGCUCACCCAUCUGUAUCUGUCUGGUAAUAAUCUGGAAGGUGGGGUACCAUGA